CAGGCCUAAUACAUGCAAGUCGGACGGGAUUGGAGAGCUUGCUUUCCAUGAGAGUGGCGCACGGGUGCGUAACACGUAUGUAACCUACCUUCGUCAGGGGGAUAGCCUCUCGAAAGAGAGAUUAAGACCGCAUAACAUAACAAUAUGGCAUCAUAAAGUUAUCAAAUAUUUAUAGGACGGAGAUGGGCAUGCGGAAGAUUAGGUAGUUGGUGAGGUAACGGCUUACCAAGGCGACGAUCGAUAGGGGGCCUGAGAGGGUGGUCCCCCACACUGGUACUGAGACACGGUCCAGACUCCUACGGGAGGCAGCAGUGAGGAAUAUUGCACAAUGGGGGCAAGCCUGAACCAGCCAUGCCGCGUGCAGGAAGACGGCCCUACGGGUUGUAAACUGCUUUUAUACGGGAAUAAACCUACUUACGUGUAAGUAGCUGAAUGUACUGUAAGAAUAAGGACGGCUAUCUACGUGCCAGCAGCCGCGGUAAUACGUAGGUGGCAAGCGUUGUCCGGAUUUAUUGGGUUUAAAGGGUGCGUAGGCGGCCUGUUAAGUCAGGGGUGAAAGACGGUAGCUCAACUAUCGCAGUGCCCUUGAUACUGAUGGGCUUGAAUGUACUAGAGGUAGGCGGAAUGUGACAAGUAGCGGUGAAAUGCAUAGAUAUGUCACAGAACACCAAUUGCGAAGGCAGCUUACUAGAGACUGACACUGAAGUACGAAAGUGCACAGAGAACGAACAGGAUUAGAUACCCUGGUAGUCCACGCCCUAAACGAUGAAUACUCGAUGUUAGCGAUAUACAGUUAGCGUCCAAGCGAAAGCGUUAAGUAUUCCACCUGGGGAGUACGCCCGCAAGGGUGAAAC
rnacentral:rRNA from 1 species